GGCCGUCUAGCUCAGUUGGUUAGAGCGUCGUGCUAAUAUGGAAUAUAACCAACCCAUUACGCGAAGGUCUUGGGUUCGACCCCCACGAUGGCCA